rnacentral:rRNA from 1 species
GCCAGACUCCUACGGGAGGCAGCAGUGGGGAAUAUUGGACAAUGGGGGGAACCCUGAUCCAGCGACGCCGCGCGAGUGAAGAAGUAUUUCGGUAUGUAAAGCUCUCUCAGCAGGGAAGAAAGAAAUGACGGUACCUGACUAAGAAGCCCCGGCUAACUACGUGCCAGCAGCCGCGGUAAUACGUAGGGGGCAAGCGUUAUCCGGAUUUACUGGGUGUAAAGGGAGCGUAGACGGCGAAGAAAGUCUGAAGUGAAAGCCCGCGGCUUAACCGCGGAACUGCUUUGGAAACUUUUUUGCUGGUGUACCGGAGAGGUAAGCGGAAUUCCUAGUGUAGCGGUGAAAUGCGUAGAUAUUAGGAGGAAUACCAGUGGCGAAGGCGGCUUACUGGACGGUAACUGACGUUGAGGCUCGAAAGCGUGGGGAGCAAACAGGAUUAGAUACCCUGGUAAUU